rnacentral:rRNA from 1 species
UACAGAGGUCUCAAGCGUUUGUUCGGAUUCAUUGGGCGUAAAGGGUGUGUAGGUGGCGCGCUAAGUCGGGUGUGAAAUUUCGGAGCUUAACUCCGAAACUGCAUUCGAUACUGGCGUGCUUGAGGACUGGAGAGGAGACUGGAAAUUUACGGUGUAGCAGUGAAAUGCGUAGAUAUCGUAAGGAAGACCAGUGGCGAAGCGGGUCUCUGGACAAGUUCCUGACACUGGAGAACACGAAAGGCCCAGGGGAGCAAAACGGGGAUUAGAAACCCCCCUGUAG